ACCUGCGCCUCCAUUUCACGAUCAGAAAGGCCACCGCAAAUCUGGAUAAUGCGGUCAGACAACGUCGACUUACCGUGGUCGAUAUGAGCAAUGAUCGAAAAGUUACGUAUGUUCUUCAUAUAUUAAUUAAUUAUGCCUUACGAAUACCUGGAGGCCGCUGUUCUGUGCCUGACGUUGUGUCGUUCGAAAACGCCGCAUUCUACACUACAUCACCACAACCAGGAAAUGCUCUUCCGGUAAGCUUAGCGGGAGAUCUGAUGCGAGAUGUAAGUAAAACGAAAGCCAGCGCGAUCACUGGCCUGUUUCGGAGGGGGAUGCGUCAACACGCAGCAUGUCAGGAGGAAGGCCAACGCUCAGGAUAACUGGCUGCCAUUCGGCACGAGCCGCCAGCAUUGGCGACAGACCGCGGGCGAGUAAAAAGCCGCCGACGCCGCCGAGCAGCGCACCGCAGAGCGCCGCGAGAUCGCCGCCGAAAAGCACCUGAAAGAGGCCGCCCACCACAAACAACCCCACCAGCGGCGACAUAUAGACCAGCAGCGCAGAACUCAACAGGCUGCCUUCGGCAAUACCCAGUUCAACUUUUUGCCCGGCGACAAGCGGCUGCUCACUCGGGACGACGAUCGUAUGCUGUGUUUGCGGUCCGAGUUUGUUCAGUAUGCGAGAGCCGCAGCCUGCGCGCGAUGCGCAACUGCUGCAUGAAGCUUUGACAUCGCAACUGACUUUCGCCAUCCCGCUUUGCCAGGAGAUAACGGUUGCCCAUUCUUUAAUCAUUGUACCGCCCCGAAUUUAACGCUUUCCGCGAUGCGC
rnacentral:ncRNA from 1 species